UACAGAGGGGGCAAGCGUUGUUCGGAAUUACUGGGCGGAAAGGGCGCGUAGGCUGCUUGACAAGUCACUUGUGAAAUCUCCGGGCUUAACUCGGAACGGCCAAGUGAAACUGUCAUGCUAGAGUGCAGUAGGGGCAAUCGGAAUUCUUGGUGUAGCGGUGAAAUGCGUAGAUAUCAAGAGGAACACCUGAGGUGAAGACGGGUUGCUGGGCUGACAAUGACGCUGAGGCGCGAAAGCCAGGGGAGCAAACGGG
rnacentral:rRNA from 1 species